AUUGAACGCUGGCGGCAUGCCUUACACAUGCAAGUCGAACGGUAACGGGCCUUCGGGUGCCGACGAGUGGCGAACGGGUGAGUAAUACAUCGGAACGUGCCCGAUCGUGGGGGAUAACGAGGCGAAAGCUUUGCUAAUACCGCAUACGAUCUACGGAUGAAAGCAGGGGACCGCAAGGCCUUGCGCGGACGGAGCGGCCGAUGGCAGAUUAGGUAGUUGGGGGGAUAAAAGCUUACCAAGCCGACGAUCUGUAGCUGGUCUGAGAGGAUGAUCAGCCACACUGGGACUGAGACACGGCCCAGACUCCUACGGGAGGCAGCAGUGGGGAAUUUUGGACAAUGGGCGCAAGCCUGAGCCAGCCAUGCCGCGUGCAGGAUGAAGGCCUUCGGGUUGUAAACUGCUUUGUACGGAACGAAAAGCCUUCUUUUAAUACAGGAGGGUCAUGACGGUACCGUAAGAAUAAGCACCGGCUAACUACGUG
rnacentral:rRNA from 1 species